AGGAACGCGGGGAGCGCGUGGAGGCCUCCGCGCCUUCCUCCUCCUCCUUGAUCUUCAGGGCGGGCGGCUGGAAGUCGCCAUAGAGAGGGGCCUCAAGGUCUAGCUAUGCUAAUGACACACAGUUUAUCUCAAUCAUGUAUAGAGGAUUCACAAGAAGACUCCAGGAGGGGUGGAGCCAUUAGAGGAUUCCAUCCAGGACACCACAUUUAAUUGUUAUGAUGUCUUGGGCUCCUCUUGGCUGUGAGAGUUUCUCAGAUUUUCCUUGUAUCUGAUGACCUUCACAGUCCUUAAGAGUACAGGUAAAUACCUAGCAGUGAAAUGGCUGGAUAAAUUAGUAAGUGCUAUAGUCUGAAUAUUUGUAUUAUCCUCAAAUAUUUCUGUGAAAACCUAAUCACCAAUGUGACAGUCUUAGUAAGUGGGGCUGUUGGGGAGUGAUUAUGUCAUGGAGCGCUGCCUUGCCCCUUCUACCAUGUGAGUACACAGUAAGAAGUUGCCAUUUAGGAACUGCAAAGCAGGUCGUCACCAGAUGUCGAACCUAUCACCUUUAUUAUGGACUCUCCAGCCUCCUGAACUGUGAGAAAUAAAUUUCUGCUGUUUAUAAGCUACCUAGUUUAUGGUAUUUU